rnacentral:lncRNA from 10 species
GACAUUGAGUGCCUGGAGCCCUCCCUAGCUCUCCAGCUGGAACCUUCCUCUGUAGGAAGGCUGAGGCUAGCAGGGAGAAGCCAGGAUGGAUUUUAAAGAGCCUUGUUGUCUCUAAGGAAGAGUGGAGCUUACAUCUUUGGGUUUGCAGAAAUGCCCACAUUCAACUCAGGGGGAAUAAAAGGAUGGGAGUUAGAAUUUCAACUUGCAGUUGCAGAAUCUCAGAGUUAAAAGAAACCUCAGAGGUCAUCUCUUCCAACCCUUCUCCAGAGCAGCUUUAAUUGCCUGUGUGGGAGAUUCAGGGCCAGCAGCUGCAGCUUCCCUUUCCCUGCCUCUGACUUGCCAGAAUCCUGUUACACCUGGGAUUUAGGCACUUUCAAUCUGAAAAAAUACAUAUCCUUUCAGCACUCUGGACGGACUUGAGAACUGUCCUUACGUGACCUAAAGCUGGAGUAUUUUGAGAUUGGAGAAUUAAGAUGCUUAGGGCUUAUCUUGUAUAUUUCCAGCCCCAGUUAUAGAAUCAGCCAUUUCUUCAAGGAUCCCCUGUCAUUUUACUGGAGAAAGGACUUAGAAUCCAAGAUCUGGGUGCUAGAUGUGCUUGAGGUGUUGUUUCCUCCAGAUCUUCUCAACUGACAGAGCAGUGAAAUAUAUGUGUGUAGGGAGGAUGGGGAGAACAAUUUUUUUAACACAUAUGAAUACUUACCUGGCAGGGGAGAUACCAUGAUCACAAAGGUGGUUUCCCCAGGGUGAGGCUUAUCCAUUGCACUCCCGAUGUGCUGACCCCUGUGAUUCCCCCAAAUGUGGGAGACUUGACUGCAUAAUUUGUGGUAAUGGGGGACUGCAUUUACACUUUUCCCUGUAAAAAUUUUUAAAAAUAAAUAAAUACAUAAAUAAAUAAAUGUGUGUAUAUGAAUCCAUGUGCAUGCACGUAUGUGUAAAUAUUUCUCCAGGUAUCCAUCUUAUCUAUGUUAAGCUAACUAUGAGUUUAUACUGCUGUCUCCA